UACGUAGGUGGCAAGCGUUUGUCCGGAUUUACUGGGCGUAAAGAGCGCGCAGGCGGUCGAUUUAGUCGCGUGUGAAAGCCCCGGGCUCAACCUGGGAACCGCGCUUUGAGACUGGAGAACUAGAGUUCGGGAGAGGAUGGUGGAAUUCCCAGUGUAGAGGUGAAAUUCGUAGAUAUUGGGAAGAACACCGAUGGCGAAGGCAGCUCGCUGGGACGUUACUGACGCUGAGACGCGAAAGCGUGGGGAGCAAACAGGG
rnacentral:rRNA from 1 species